GGAGAGUACAGCUCAGCUGUAGAGUGUGUGCUUAGCAUGCAUGAGGUACUGGGUUCAACCCCCAGCACCUCCA
rfam:Camelus ferus unplaced genomic scaffold scaffold313, whole genome shotgun sequence.